rnacentral:tRNA from 1 species
AAACUUAGGAUAAGCAAACCAAGAGCCUUCAAAGCCCUAAAUAAGAACAUCAACUUCCUAGUUUCUGCCU